GUCUACGGCCAUACCACCCUGAACACGCCCGAUCUCGUCUGAUCUCGGAAGCUAAGCAGGGUCGGGCCUGGUUAGUACUUGGAUAGGAGACAAAUUAUAAUAACAAUAAAGGAAAAAAGCAGAAA
rfam:Erinaceus europaeus unplaced genomic scaffold scaffold00152, whole genome shotgun sequence